CUUGACCAUGGUCCGCCGUCCUCUGGGAGCUGAGGGAGAUAUCCUCGGGUUGUGUGGAUGAGAGGAUGCCGUGCGGGCUGCGGGUUCCCCGGGCUUGUUUCCUCAGAGAUGCGCCCCUUCCUCUUGGAAGGCGGGAAAGCAAAGUGUGUCCCAGAUGCCUGUGGCCGAGGGCAAGAGUGUUCAGCAAACCGUAGAGCUCCUUACCCGGAAAUUGGAGAUGCUUGGGGCAGAGAAGCAAGGAACAUUUUGUGUGGACUGUGAGACUUACCAUACGGCCGCCUCUACCCUUGGCAGCCAAGGGUCUCUUUCUGUCACCCAGGCUGGAGUGAAAUGGCAUGAUCAUAGCUCACUAUUGCCUCGACCUGCCGGGCUCAAGUGAUCCUUCAGCCCCAGCAUCCUAAAUAGCUGGGGCCACAGGUCAGACCGGGAAGCUGAUGUAUGUGAUGCACAACUCAGAGUACCCAUUGAGCUGUUUCGCCCUCUUUGAGAAUGGCCCUUGCCUUAUUGCUGACACCAACUUUGAUGUGCUUAUGGUGAAGCUCAAGGGCUUUUUCCAGAGUGCUAAGGCCAGCAAGAUUGAGACCCGGGGCACCCGGUACCAGUACUGUGACUUCCUGGUGAAGGUGGGCACGGUCACAAUGGGGCCCAGUGCCCGGGGCAUCUCUGUGGAGGUGGAGUAUGGCCCCUGUGUGGUAGCUAGUGACUGCUGGAGUCUGCUGCUCGAGUUCCUACAGAGUUUUCUAGGCAGCCACACACCAGGGGCUCCCGCAGUGUUUGGGAACAGACAUGAUGCGGUCUACGGCCCAGCAGAUACCAUGGUCCAGUACAUGGAACUCUUCAACAAGAUCCGCAAGCAGCAGCAGGUGCCGGUGGCUGGGAUUCGUUAGUGAUGAGCAGCUGCCAGCUGAGCUCUGUCACCAGGGGUACUCCACAGGAGGAGCAGGUGCUGACUUUCAGGUCCCUGGACCCCAGAAACCCAGGGUAGACAUGGACUCUACUCUCCUUCUCUGGUUCCCAGCUGUGGCUUUUGUUCUGGGGCUGAGUCCCCUCCCCAACCCCCUGACUCUCACACAUAGCCCCCCAUCAGCUGUUUUACUCCGUGCCUUACUGGAUUUGGCCUGUCCUCAAGAAUGGUAAUUAUGAAGAGUGGAGAAGUUUGGACCCUGCCUCCUUUAGGGGAAAGGUAGGACAGGAAUGUCCCUGCCUGGUACUGGUGGGGGAAAUAGUCCGUAUCCCCAACUAUUAAGGAUUUGUCCCAGGCCGAUGGUGAACAUGCUGCAUUUUAUGUUUGGAUUGUGCUGUAAUAAGAGCCUCUUCCUUCCCUCAGAGGAUGUGGCUGGGCUUCUAUCCUAGAGAUGGAGUAGAAGGCACAGCUGGUUUGAUAGUUACUAUUUUCUGACCUGUUUGCUGAAGUGAUUUGCGAAUUGACUUUCCUAGGGUGUUGCCUGAGUCCUUUGAAAUCUCCUUCUGACAUCUUUCCCUUCUGUUGUGAAAUAUGUUAAGCCACAGGCUAAACUGCUAUAAGAUCGAAGUUUGUUUUUUUCUCACCUAAUAAUAGAGAGGUAAUCAGAUGGUCUAGGGCAGAUUUAACUCUACAAGGUUAUCAGGAACUUUGUUUCCUUCUGUCUUAUUCAGCCAUUCCCAGUAUGUUUUCUUACCCAUAAGAUCAAAGCAGACUCAUCAGCUCCAUAUCUGCAUUCCACUGGGGAAAGAGAGAAAAGAGCAAUUUUUAAAAAAAAGAUAUGACUGAGCAUUGCUCAAAUCACUGUGGCCACACUUUGCUGAAAGAGAUGCUGGGACAUAGAACCUCUUAUCUGGGCAGUCAUGUGCUGAGUUAAAACUCAGGGAUUCUGUGACUACAAGAUGAAAGAGAAUUUGGUUGCUGGGACGCAGUUAAUGGCUUCUGUUACAUGGAGCUCAAUGGACGUGCCCAGGAAUGCUUUUGGCUGUUAUUUUGCAGUUAAUACCUCCUGUAACUAAAGCAUUUGUUUAUGAGUUGACUUGAGAGAAGGGCUGAUCUCAGAGCCACUUUGAGCUAAGUUGGAUUAGUCACACUAGGAAGUUAAUUCCACACCUUUCGUCUAAGUCUCAGUAUUGAGGCCUCUCCAGUUCUCAUGCACCCUGAUCUUAGGGUUAGAAUACUUGACCCUGAUACCUGCACCAUGCUUCAUGGUUGCCUGAGCUCUUUCUCCUGUUUCAUUUGAGCCUCCAAACUACAUAUUUGGUCAUAUUGCCUGCCUACCCCAUGCCUGCUGCAGAAAUAUUCAUCCAGGUUAACCUUGAUAUACACAGAGAUGGUCUUGGAGAAUUGUGAAUGUAUGUACUGUAUUGUCAUCAAGGAUACUGUCCCUUAUUUGAAGGCAUCUAAAGAGAAACUGUUUUCAGAUCCAAGUGCUCAGAUCUAAAGCCUCUGCAACAAGUCAGGUGGUGGUCAUGUUUCCCUUCUAGUUUUGGCUGACAGGAAGCUCAAUUCAGUACCAUAACUACAGAACCUGUCAUCUGUAUUUUUUGUUCUCACCCCCUGUUUUUGUUAUUUUGUUUCUGGUUUUUUAUAUUGAGGUAUGUUUUAGAUAUUGUUUACAAAAAUAAAAUGCACAGAUCUU
rnacentral:sRNA from 1 species